rnacentral:rRNA from 1 species
AUGCCUAACACAUGCAAGUCGAACGAAUUACCUUCGGGUAGUUAGUGGCGCACGGGUGCGUAACGCGUGGGAAUCUGCCCCUUGGUUCGGAAUAACAGUUGGAAACGACUGCUAAUACCGGAUGAUGACGUAAGUCCAAAGAUUUAUCGCCGAGGGAUGAGCCCGCGUAGGAUUAGGUAGUUGGUGUGGUAAAGGCGCACCAAGCCGACGAUCCUUAGCUGGUCUGAGAGGAUGAUCAACCACACUGGGACUGAGACACGGCCCAGACUCCUACGGGAGGCAGCAGUGGGGAAUAUUGGACAAUGGGCGAAAGCCUGAUCCAGCAAUGCCGCGUGAGUGAUGAAGGCCUUAGGGUUGUAAGGCUCUUUUACCCGGGAUGAUAAUGACAGUACCGGGAGAAUAAGCUCCGGCUAACUCCGUGCCAGCCGCCGCGGUAAUAC